UGGGGAAUAUUGGACAAUGGGCGCAAGCCUGAUCCAGCAAUGCCGCGUGUGUGAAGAAGGCCUGCGGGUUGUAAAGCACUUUCAGUGGGGAAGAAAAGCUCAUGGUUAAUACCCGUGAGUCUUGACGUAACCUACAGAAGAAGCACCGGCUAACUCCGUGCCAGCAGCCGCGGUAAUACGGAGGAUGCAAGCGUUAUCCGGAAUGAUUGGGCGUAAAGGGUCUGCAGGUGGCUAUGCAAGUCUGCUGUUAAAGAGUGGAGCUCAACUCCAUAAGGGCAGUGGAAACUGCGUGACUAGAGUACGUUCGGGGUAGAGGGAAUUCCUGGUGUAGCGGUGAAAUGCGUAGAUAUCAGGAAGAACACCGGUGGCGAAAGCGCUCUGCUAGGCCGUAACUGACACUGAGAGACGAAAGCUAAGGGAGCGAAUGGGAUUAGAUACCCGGGUAGUCC
rnacentral:rRNA from 1 species